rnacentral:rRNA from 1 species
CGUGGGUAACCUGCCUUAUAGUGGGGGAUAGCCUUUCGAAAGGAAGAUUAAUACCGCAUAAGAUUGUAGUAUCGCAUGAUAUAGCAAUUAAAGGAGCUAUUCGCUAUAAGAUGGACCCGCGUCGCAUUAGCUAGUUGGUGAGGUAAUGGCUCACCAAGGCGACGAUGCGUAGCCGACCUGAGAGGGUGAUCGGCCACAUUGGGACUGAGACACGGCCCAGACUCCUACGGGAGGCAGCAUG